rnacentral:rRNA from 1 species
AUUCAACGCUCGCGGCAGGCCUAACACAUGCAAGUCGAACGAGUGGCGGACGGGUGCGUAAUGUCUGGGAAACUGCCUGAUGGAGGGGGAUCACUACUGGAAACGGUAGCUAAUACCGCAUCCCAUCGGAUGUGCCCAGAUGGGAUUAGCUAGUAGGUGGGGUAAAGGCUCACCUAGGCGACGAUCCCUAGCUUGUCUGAGAGGAUGACACGCCACACGGGAACUAGGACACGGUACAGACUCCGACGGGAGGCAGCAAUGGUGAAUAUUGCACAAUGGGCGAAAGCCUGAGGCAGCCAUGCCGCGGGUAUGAAGAAGGCCUUCGGGUUGUAAAGUACUUUCAGCGGGGAGGCGUUACCCGCAGAAGAAGCACCGGCUAACUCCGUGCGAGCAGCCGCGGUAAUAC